rnacentral:rRNA from 2 species
UUGACCUCGGAUCAGGUAGGAGUACCCGCUAAACUUAA